rnacentral:lncRNA from 1 species
GAAUUGGGUUUUUUAAAAACUUUUCAACUACUUCUAAUCUUUUAGAGUUAAUUAAGCUAAGUUGUAUGGAUGCAUAGUGGAAUUUAAACUUAGCAAGAGUAUGAUUCUAAUCUAAUCAACUAUUAAGCAACGGACUCAAUAAAAGAUUAGUCUAAGUUUGCCUAAGUAUGCAAUUCAAUACAAUGAGUCUUAAUGCUGUUAUAUUGAAUGAGACUUGAUUAAGUAAAUUGAAUAUGCUUGCAAUAAAGGAUGCACGGUGAAGAGUUAAGCAAGCAAUUUAUCUAAGUAAGUAAGUGAGUGAGGAAGUUAGAUAACAAAGAGCAUCA